UAAAAUCCUCCUUUCUUUAAUUUAUUCAACACUAAUCUAGUGAGAACAAUACUGUUCUCGCACGGUUUUGACAUCAUGUGCCAGCUGCACGUCAUUGUCCUAAUUGACAGCUAUGGCUUAUAUGGCUGCUAACCGCGCCUUAGGUAGGAAAUGCUGUUGGACCCUGACGUGCAGACGUGUGAUCAAUCAACCAAACAUUGUAAAGAUCACGGUUGGUCAAGAGGGAACUGGCCAGGUAUAUUGCAGAUCCCCCUCAAGGCGUGGCUGAAGGGUCUAGGAUACAGCAAAGAUUGUCUGGCUUCAUGCUGACCAGACUGGCGAGCUAACCGCUUAACGGAUUGGGAGAUACAUCACCUAGUAUCUGAGGAAACUCUUCUGAACUGGUUGGAGAUUCAGCCCAACAAGUCUCCACUGAAGGAAUUGGAUUAUUAUUAUUUUUGUUUUUUCUCCCUUUCAUCAUCAACA